UCUCUAUCCUCAGUGGCGUCUGUUCCUCCGCAAUCACCUCCAUGGAUCUCUUCUGCCAUUUUCAUCUCUACUCACCAACUCCUCUCUCACUUUCUCUAUCUUCAGCUGCUUGUUCUGAUUGAUCUCUUCCUGGAGCAAUACAAAGCUCUCCCUGUUCAGCUUCAAACUUCACAUUAGAGUGACCUACUUGCACUUCUGAAUGUGUCAUCUCAUGAGAAGAUACUACCUACUACAUAUGAAAAAUUGAGGCCUCCUCUUGGGAAGCAUCAUUUAAAGAUUGUGGAGUUCAUUGCAGUGUUAUUGAAAACUACCAAUGAUGCUGCACAGAAUGAAUUGGUCAGCACAAGAAACAUUCGACAAGCCAUUGAUCUUUUAUUUGAGUACCCAUACAAUAACUCGCUACACCACCAUGUAGAGAGUAUUGUAUUCUCAUGUUGGAUAGCAAGACUGAUAGCAUCGCCAAUCAUCUUUUUCGAUAGUGCAAUUUAAUUGGAAAGAUUCUCCAAACAGAUAAAGCACCUAUUCUUUCUGGUGGCAGUAAUCAGGUCAAUCUUUUAUGACUCUCAAAUAUCAUUGUAGUACAUUUAUAAUGCUUUGCUGAACCAAAUAGAAUUAAAAUGAAGGUACAAAAAUAAAAAGGACUAGUAGUCAAAAUAUAGACACAUGGCAAAGUAUGUGUA